CAUGGCUCAGAUGGUAAAGCAUCUGUCUGCAAUGCUGGAGACCCAGGUUAGAUCCCUGGGUCAGGAAGA